GCGCCUGUAGCUCAACUGGAUAGAGCGCAGCCCUGCGAAGGCUGAGGCUGUGGGUUCGAAUCCCACCAGGCGUACCA
rnacentral:tRNA from 1 species